rnacentral:siRNA from 1 species
AGACGUUGCUCUCGUUCUCCUUAC